UAGUCCACGCCGUAAACGAUGGAUACUAGCUGUUCGGAACUUGUUCUGAGUGGCUAAGCGAAAGUGAUAAGUAUCCCACCUGGGGAGUACGUUCGCAAGAAUGAAACUCAAAGGAAUUGACGGGGGCCCGCACAAGCGGUGGAGCAUGUGGUUUAAUUCGAUGAUACGCGAGGAACCUUACCAGGGCUUAAACGUAGUCUGACAGGGCCAGAAAUGGCUUUUUCUUCGGACAGAUUACAAGGUGCUGCAUGGUUGUCGUCAGCUCGUGCCGUGAGGUGUCAGGUUAAGUCCUAUAACGAGCGCAACCCCUGUUGUUAGUUGCCAUCGAGUAAUGUCGGGAACUCUAACAAGACUGCCGGCGUAAGCCGUGAGGAAGGUGGGGACGACGUCAAAUCAUCAUGGCCUUUAUGCCUAGGGCUACACACGUGCUACAAUGGUGCAUACAGCGGGUAGCGAAAUCGCGAGGUGGAGCUAAUCUUGUAAAGUGCAUCCCAGUUCGGAUCGGAGU
rnacentral:rRNA from 1 species